rnacentral:rRNA from 1 species
GAGGAGCCCAGAGCCUGAAUCAGCAUGUGUGUUAGUGGAAGCGUCUGGAAAGGCGCGCGAUACAGGGUGACAGCCCCGUACACAAAAGCGCAUGUGCUGUGAGCUCGAUGAGUAGGGCGGGACACGUGGUAUCCUGUCUGAAUAUGGGGGGACCAUCCUCCAAGGCUAAAUACUCCUGACUGACCGAUAGUGAACCAGUACCGUGAGGGAAAGGCGAAAAGAACCCCGGCGAGGGGAGUGAAAAAGAACCUGAAACCGUGUACGUACAAGCAGUGGGAGCCCCACCACUAAGCCAGUGGUGAACUCCACAUACGCAUCCUUUGCUGAGGAUACGGUUAACGGAGCGAAAGCGACGUUCAACCGCAAAAGAAGCAGAGGGGGCUUAGUGGUGGGGUGACUGCGUACCUUUUGUAUAAUGGGUCAGCGACUUAUAUUCUGUAGCAAGGUUAACCGAAUAGGGGAGCCGCAGGGAAACCGAGUCUUAAUUGGGCGUUAAGUUGCAGGGUAUAGACCCGAAACCCGGUGAUCUAGCCAUGGGCAGGUUGAAGGUUGGGUAACACUAACUGGAGGACCGAACCGACUAAUGUUGAAAAAUUAGCGGAUGACCUGUGGCUGGGGGUGAAAGGCCAAUCAAACCGGGAGAUAGCUGGUUCUCCCCGAAAGCUAUUUAGGUAGCGCCUCGUGAAUUCAUCUCCGGGGGUAGAGCACUGUUUCGGCUAGGGGGCCAUCCCGGCUUACCAACCCGAUGCAAACUGCGAAUACCGGAGAAUGUUAUCACGGGAGACACACGGCGGGUGCUAACGUCCGUCGUGAAGAGGGAAACAACCCAGACCGCCAGCUAAGGUCCCAAAGUCAUGGUUAAGUGGGAAACGAUGUGGGAAGGCCCAGACAGCCAGGAUGUUGGCUUAGAAGCAGCCAUCAUUUAAAGAAAGCGUAAUAGCUCACUGGUCGAGUCGGCCUGCGCGGAAGAUGUAACGGGGCUAAACCAUGCACCGAAGCUGCGGCAGCGACGCUGAUGCGUUGUUGGGUAGGGGAGCGUUCUGUAAGCCUGUGAAGGUGUGUCGUGAGGCAUGCUGGAGGUAUCAGAAGUGCGAAUGCUGACAUAAGUAACGAUAAAGCGGGUGAAAAGCCCGCUCGCCGGAAGACCAAGGGUUCCUGUCCAACGUUAAUCGGGGCAGGGUGAGUCGACCCCUAAGGCGAGGCCGAAAGGCGUAGUCGAUGGGAAACGGGUUAAUAUUCCCGUACUUGGUGUUACUGCGAAGGGGGGACGGAGAAGGCUAUGUUGGCCGGGCGACGGUUGUCCCGGUUUAAGCGUGUAGGUGUGUGUUCCAGGUAAAUCCGGUUCACUUUAACACUGAGGCGUGAUGACGAGGCACUACGGUGCUGAAGCAACAAAUGCCCUGCUUCCAGGAAAAGCCUCUAAGCAUCAGGUAACAUCAAAUCGUACCCCAAACCGACACAGGUGGUCAGGUAGAGAAUACCAAGGCGCUUGAGAGAACUCGGGUGAAGGAACUAGGCAAAAUGGUGCCGUAACUUCGGGAGAAGGCACGCUGACACGUAGGUGAAGUGAUUUACUCACGGAGCUGAAGUCAGUCGAAGAUACCAGCUGGCUGCAACUGUUUAUUAAAAACACAGCACUGUGCAAACACGAAAGUGGACGUAUACGGUGUGACGCCUGCCCGGUGCCGGAAGGUUAAUUGAUGGGGUCAGCGCAAGCGAAGCUCCUGAUCGAAGCCCCGGUAAACGGCGGCCGUAACUAUAACGGUCCUAAGGUAGCGAAAUUCCUUGUCGGGUAAGUUCCGACCUGCACGAAUGGCGUAAUGAUGGCCAGGCUGUCUCCACCCGAGACUCAGUGAAAUUGAACUCGCUGUGAAGAUGCAGUGUACCCGCGGCAAGACGGAAAGACCCCGUGAACCUUUACUAUAGCUUGACACUGAACAUUGAGCCUUGAUGUGUAGGAUAGGUGGGAGGCUUUGAAGUGUGGACGCCAGUCUGCAUGGAGCCGACCUUGAAAUACCACCCUUUAAUGUUUGAUGUUCUAACGUGGACCCGUAAUCCGGGUUGCGGACAGUGUCUGGUGGGUAGUUUGACUGGGGCGGUCUCCUCCUAAAGAGUAACGGAGGAGCACGAAGGUUGGCUAAUCCUGGUCGGACAUCAGGAGGUUAGUGCAAUGGCAUAAGCCAGCUUGACUGCGAGCGUGACGGCGCGAGCAGGUGCGAAAGCAGGUCAUAGUGAUCCGGUGGUUCUGAAUGGAAGGGCCAUCGCUCAACGGAUAAAAGGUACUCCGGGGAUAACAGGCUGAUACCGCCCAAGAGUUCAUAUCGACGGCGGUGUUUGGCACCUCGAUGUCGGCUCAUCACAUCCUGGGGCUGAAGUAGGUCCCAAGGGUAUGGCUGUUCGCCAUUUAAAGUGGUACGCGAGCUGGGUUUAGAACGUCGUGAGACAGUUCGGUCCCUAUCUGCCGUGGGCGCUGGAGAACUGAGGGGGGCUGCUCCUAGUACGAGAGGACCGGAGUGGACGCAUCACUGGUGUU